rnacentral:rRNA from 1 species
GUGAGGAAUAUUGCGCAAUGGAGGCAACUCUGACGCAGCCAUGCCGCGUGCAGGAAGAAGGUGCUACGCGUUGUAAACUGCUUUUAACCGGGAAGAAACCCCAGGACGUGUCCUGGGUUGACGGUACCGGAGGAAUAAGCACCGGCUAACUUCGUGCCAGCAGCCGCGGUAAUACGAAGGGUGCAAGCGUUAUCCGGAUUCAUUGGGUUUAAAGGGUGCGUAGGCGGAGCGUUAAGUCAGUGGUGAAAUCCUGCAGCUUAACUGUAGACUUGCCAUUGAUACUGGCGCUCUUGAGUGCGCUUGAAGUGGGCGGAAUGUGCCGUGUAGCGGUGAAAUGCUUAGAUAUGGCACAGAACACCAAUUGCGAAGGCAGCUCACUAAGGCGAUACUGACGCUGAGGCACGAAAGCGUGGGGAUCGAACAGGAUUAGAAACCCUAGUAGUCC